rnacentral:rRNA from 1 species
UACGUAGGGGGCUAGCGUUGUCCGGAAUCAUUGGGCGUAAAGAGCGUGUAGGCGGCUCGGUAAGUCCGCUGUAAAAGUCAAAGGCUCAACCUUUGAAUGUCAGUGGAUACUGCCGGGCUAGAGUCCGGAAGAGGCGAGUGGAACUCCUGGUGUAGCGGUGGAAUGCGCAGAUAUCAGGAAGAACACCAACGGCGAAGGCAGCUCGCUGGGACGGUACUGACGCUGAGGCACGAAAGCGUGGGGAGCGAACAGG